rnacentral:misc_RNA from 1 species
AAGUCGUAACAAGGUUUCCGUAGGUGAACCUGCGGAAGGAUCAUUAUUGAAUACGAUUGGUUCUGAUGCUGGCUCUUUACUGAGCAUGUGCUCGUCCAUUCUAUUUAUCUUCUCUUGUGCACAUUUUGUGACUUUGGAUCGAUACUCUAUCGUCUUCGGGCGGAUUGGGGGUUGAGGUUUACCACUUCCCCUGUUAUCAUUCAAAGUCAUGUUUUCAUAUACCCUAUAAAGUUACAGAAUGUCUAUUAAUGAUUGCGCUUGUCGUAGUCUUUAAACCUAUACAACUUUUAGCAACGGAUCUCUUGGCUCUC